rnacentral:rRNA from 1 species
GGUUGCGAUCAUACCAGCACUAAUGCACCGGAUCCCAUCAUAACUCCGUAGUUAAGCGUGCUUGGGCGAGAGUAAUACUAGGAUGGGUGACCUCCUGGGAAGUCCUCGUGUUGCAACCC